ACCAGGGUGGCCGAGUGGUUAAGGCGUUGGACUUAAGAUCCACUAGGCGAAAGCCUGCGUGGGUUCAAACCCCACCCCUGGUA
rnacentral:tRNA from 1 species